rnacentral:rRNA from 1 species
UACAGAGGUCCCAAGCGUUGUUCGGAUUCACUGGGCGUAAAGGGCGCGUAGGCGGUGCCACAAGUCACCUGUGAAAUCUCCGGGCUUAACUCGGAGCCUGCAGGCGAAACUGUGGUGCUGGAGUGUGGGAGAGGUGCGUGGAAUUCCCGGUGUAGCGGUGGAAAUGACGUAGAUAUCGGGAGGAACACCUGUGGCAAAAGCGGCGCACUGGACCAUAACUGACGCUGAUGCGCGAAAGCUAGGGGAGCAAACAGGG